rnacentral:rRNA from 1 species
GACGAACGCUAGCGGCAGGCCUAAUACAUGCAAGUCGAACGAUAGAAGAGAGCUUGCUCUCUUCGAAAGUGGCGCACGGGUGCGUAACGCGUAUGCAACCUACCUUAAUCAGGGGGAUAGCCCGAAGAAAUUCGGAUUAACACCGCAUAAAAUCACAGUACAGCAUUGUACAAUGAUCAAAUAUUUAUAGGAUUAAGAUGGGCAUGCGUGACAUUAGCUAGUUGGCGGGGUAACGGCCCACCAAGGCGACGAUGUCUAGGGGAUCUGAGAGGAUGACCCCCCACAAUGGUACUGAGACACGGACCAGACUCCUACGGGAGGCAGCAGUAUGGAAUAUUGGUCAAUGGAGGCAACUCUGAACCAGCCAUGCCGCGUGCAGGAAGACGGCCCUCUGGGUUGUAAACUGCUUUUAUUCGGGAAUAAACCUCAUUACGUGUAGUGAGCUGAAUGUACCGAAGGAAUAAGGAUCGGCUAACUCCGUGCCAGCAGCCGCAGUAA